GUUUAUUUGUUACUCAAACUAUUAAUUUAACUCUCUUCAGUAUGUUGCGUACCCACAUGAUAUCUGCUCUAUGAAAAUUCUCAAAAACUAUGUAUCUAUAUCCAGAAGGUUGAUGCUUCUAUUGAGAUCUAUGAACAGAUAAGACUAUAAGAUGCAUCUUGCUUGAUAUAAUACAGUUAAAUACCAAUAGAAAAUAUUAGUAGGUGUUAAAUAUUAAAUUCACAUUUUCAAAUUAGCUCUAUGCAAAAAUUUAUCCCCCAAAAGGAAAAAAAAGAGUAGCUCUAUGUAAAACUUUAUGAGGUGCCUCCUACUCAAAAAAAAUACUUUUCUCCCAGCAAGUCUCUAAGUCUUACUUGUAUGAGCAUUGUUAAGUGAGGGCAAAAUGGGAAAGUAACAAAUGGGAAUAGUACAUCGCAGCUAUAUAUAUACCUGUUAUGUUAAAGUUUUUCUUCUAAACCUCCUUGUUAUGUAAGCUCCAAUUUAGAUAAUUUUUCUCUCCUAUAUUCAGCAGUUUUCGACCUGGUAAUAAUAAUGUCACUAUGACACUUCAAGAAAGAAGGUAGAUAUUUUUUUUGGAUAAGGUAAGGUAGAAGAAAGGAGGUGGAUAUUGGCUUCGGAAAACUUGUCCAUAUUAUCCCAAUUUACGGAGGAGCAAAUGAGUAGAUAUGAAUCUUUUCGGAGAUCUGGAUUUCAGAAAUCCAACAUGAAGCGGUUGCUGACGAGCAUCACCGGAAGUGCCAAGAUAUCUAUUCCUAUGACAAUUGUGGUUUCUGGGAUAGCGAAAAUGUUUGUUGGUGAGCUAAUUGAAACAGGUCCAUAGACAUCUAUAACUUUUUAUAAGAUGAUUACUGAAGCAAAAUGUUUCAUGAUUUGGAAACAACAAGGGGUGUUGUUUCUGGCAUGAUUUUAUUUUCUCCCCUAAACUUUAUUUAGUUUCUUUUCUUUGAGCCUAGUGCACAACUUCAAAUAUUUGGUCAAACUCUGUCAUUGGUGUCUGAUCAAUUUGCGACAAUCAUGAUUCAAAGCCUUAGAGCCCAUAUUGUCAUAUAAUGUCCAUGACUAAGCGUGUUGGUGGUUAAAAUUUAUUUGGAAACUUACCCCUAUAAAGUACUAAAGAGUGGCAUAAAAUGUCUUAGGGAUUCAUCAAACAAUACAAUACAAUACGAUGCAUUAUUAUGAAACGACAUGUAACAACCAUUCAAACAAGCUGUUAAUAUAGGCAAUGCCAGUUAGCCCGUACUAUU